AGAUAGAGGACGCAAAAAUCAAAAAAAGGCUUAACGGUGGAUGCAGAAAUUAGAUCAGUGACGAUAGAUGCAAAAAUCAUAUCGGUGGACGCGCAUGAGACGGAUCUCCCUCGUUCCCGCCGGCAUCUGCAAGUAGGGUUCUCUGUGUCCCUAAAAACCAAGCUAAGACGCCCUAUUUUCGGAUAGAUCUCUCAUCUUCAUCUUCAUCUGCAAGGUGCACGCUCUCUAUCUCUCUCUAUCGACACAAAAUAUAUAUAAAUUGUAUUACAAUGUGAGAUUCUUGCAUUUUUUUAAUUGAGAUUCCGUUGGUUGAGGCAUUAAUGGAGAUGAGGUAAAUAAGAGCAUCAUCGAAUAUGAAAACCUCACUGUUUAGGAACACUUGCAGUGAACAGAUGGUGAAAUAUAUUCUGUUAACCCUCCCCUACGGAACUCUUACUGUUUAAUCGGGAGAAGAAAUUGUUUGUUCUCACAUAUAAAUUUUUUUAAUUGCUUACUUGCAGUGAAUAGAUGGUGAAAUACAUUUUGUAAAUUGUUUGUUCUCACAGUAAUAAGGCAUUACUGUUUACUGUUUAGGAACACUUGCAGUG